rnacentral:rRNA from 1130 species
UAUUCUGGUGUCCUAGGCGUAGAGGAACCACACCAAUCCAUCCCGAAUUUGGUGGUUAAACUCUACUGCGGUGACGAUACUGUAGGGGAGGUCCUGCGGCAAAAUAGCUCGAUGCCAGAAU